CAGCAGCCGCGGUAAUACGUAGGUGGCAAGCGUUGUCCGGAAUUAUUGGGCGUAAAGCGAGCGCAGGCGGUUAGAUAAGUCUGAAGUUAAAGGCUGUGGCUUAACCAUAGUACGCUUUGGAAACUGUUUAACUUGAGUGCAAGAGGGGAGAGUGGAAUUCCAUGUGUAGCGGUGAAAUGCGUAGAUAUAUGGAGGAACACCGGUGGCGAAAGCGGCUCUCUGACUUGUAACUGACGCUGAGGCUCGAAAGCGUGGGGAGCAAACAGAAUUAGAGACCCCAGUAGUCCCUGUCUCUUAUACA
rnacentral:rRNA from 1 species